UAUUUAUAAGACCAAUCACACCAUUAAUGACUGCUUCAUAACCAUGAGAUCAAUUCAAAGACUGCGUUUCCUUUCUUCACCAUAUCUUCUCUCACGUUUCACUCCUAAUUCUUUGCCUUUCACAUCAUCUUCUUCUUUUCCUCAUGCCCUAAUAGAACCCACAACAAGCACAAUUGCAGCCACUUCUCUGACCCAAGAAGAGCUUACACAAAUCAAUCUACUAAUCCCACGUUUAUGCUCUUCAAAUCACCUCAAAGAAGCUGCUAAUCUCAUCACAACAACAUUUCUCACAAACCCAUCUUUAGAAUCAAUCUCUGUUUCCAUUUUCAUUCACAGACUCUCUCUUGAACCUGACCUUACACAACCCAUGUACUUCCUCAAUCGCCUCAAGUACACCCCAAAGACUCAAUCUUUUCUAUUGCCCAUUUGUAAAAUGUUAGUUUCUUUGUAUUUUAGGAAGGGAGGCUACUAAAGGGUUAAAGAUUUUUCAUUGGGUGUCAAGGCCUGAUUUUCCUUGUCCAGUGGAUUACGGAUUGUGUGCUAUUUUGGUGAAUGGAUUUUGCAAGAAUGAUAUGGUUGUGGAGGGUUUAAAGGUUUUGAGGAUGAUGGUAGUUGGGAAUUUGAAGUUUGGGGGUGAGGUUAGGAUGUGGGUGUAUAGAAGUCUUCUGAGGGAGGCCAGGAUUAAGGAGGCUCAAGAACUAAAUGAAGCUUUGAAGUGUGUUGAGAAUGGGGACAAGGGAAAUGAGGAAGUGGUUGCUUUGUUGGAUAGUAUAAUCUCAAAUUGGAUUGAAUAGAGUGUUUAAGAGAUAUUGUCUUUGGAGGGAGGAUGUGGCCUAGUCGAUGAAGUUGGAGUAAACUCCAUGGAAGACUAAGGUUCAAAUCUCAAAUAGAGGCAAAAUAGUUGGGUGAUUUCUUCCUUCUGCCUAAACCCUGGUUGUAGAGUUAUCAUGUACCAACAGUACUGAAAGGAUACAAGUAUCUAGUGGAAUAGUCAAGGUGCAUGCGACCUACUCAUGCUCAGUGAUAAGAGAGCAUUAGCAUCUCAAGACGAGAUCUCCAUAGUGUCAAUGACUUUAAGUUUGUGAUAUCUUGUUUUUCUUUGGGGUUCAGGACGUGCUGCCAUCAAACAUCCUAACUCAGUCGUAUGCAUAACUGGAGAUGAGAUUUACUUUAUUGAAAUGUUAACUAAGAUUGCAUCCAGUACUUUAUUUGUGGUCGUAUUCCCAGAUUCGGUUAAAUUAGUUGACAGGUUGAAGUUGAAGAGCUUCUCUAUAAGUAACAAAAUGUCCAAAUGUUUUUCCUGAUAUCUUACACGGCUUUCUGAUUGCAGAUCUCAUGCAUUAUUAGA